CCUACGGGUGGCAGCAGUCGAGAAUCAUUCACAAUGGGGGAAACCCUGAUGGAGCGACGCCGCGUGGGGGAAUGAAGGUCUUCGGAUUGUAAACCCCUGUCAUGUGGGAGCAAAUUCAAAAGAUAGUCCCACAAGAGGAAGAGACGGCUAAAUCUGGUCCAGCAGCCGCGGUAAUACAGAGGUCUCAAGCGUUGUUCGGAAUCACUGGGCGUAAAGCGUGCGUAGGCGGUUACGUAAGUCGUGUGUGAAAGGCGCGGGCUCAACCCGCGGACGGCAGAUGAUACUGCGAGACUAGAGUAAGGGAGGGGGAACCGGAAUUCUCGGUGUAGCAGUGAAAUGCGUAGAUAUCGAGAGGAACACUCGUGGCGAAGGCGGGUUCCUGGACAUUAACUGACGCUGAGGCACGAAGGCCAGGGGAGCGAAAGGGAUUAGAUACCCCGGUAGUC
rnacentral:rRNA from 1 species